GAUGAACGCUGGCGGCGUGCCUAAUACAUGCAAGUCGAGCGAACAGAUCAGGAUCUUGCUCCUUGGAAGUUAGCGGCGGACGGGUGAGUAACACGUGGGUAACCUACCUAUAAGACUGGGAUAACUUCGGGAAACCGGAGCUAAUACCGGAUAACAUUUAGAACCGCAUGGUUCUAAAGUGAAAGAUGGUUUUUCUAUCACUUAUAGAUUGACCCGCGCCGUAUUAGCUAGUUGGUAAGGUAACGGCUUACCAAGGCGACGAUACGUAGCCGACCUGAGAGGGUGAUCGGCCACACUGACAGUGAGACACGGUCCAGAGUCCUACGGGAGGCCGCAGUAGGGAAUCUUACGCAAUGGGCGAAAGCCUGACGGAGCAACGCCGCGUGAGUGAUGAAGGGUUUCGACUCGUAAAACUCUGUUAUUAGGGAAGAACAAAUGUGUAAGUAACUGUGCACAUCUUGACGGUACCUAAUCAGAAAGCCACGGCUAACUACGUG
rnacentral:rRNA from 1 species